AUUAAAACGAUGCUGGAAUCGAUUUUUUCCCAGCUCUACAAGACAUCUGGAAAUAAAGAGAAAAUAUAAUAUUGUAUAUGUUGACAUCUGACAACUUAAGAAUCUCCUAGUUCAACGCUUUCUUAUUAAUAAAGUACUUGUUGACAUGGGCAGUAUUGAAAAGGCUUGCAUAUCAGGGUUUCUCUGCCGUCUAUGUUCGGAAAUGCACAGAACUGUAAUUCAUAUAUAUAGUGACCACGGCCAACGUCUAUGCCUUGUUGAAAAAAUUAACGGCUACCUUCCAAUAACUGUACGUAUUAAAUCAAUUUGUAAAUAAAAUGUUUAAGGUAACAUACGCACGUUAAAAUAUCAAAGUGCCAUGUCGUUGCGAGUAUAUUAUCAAUUUUGCAUUAUGUACAUAAAUAUUUACAUAUAUACACACAUUUGCAUUUUUAUAGAAUGUUUUGAGCAUUAAUAUUGGGUUUGUUUAUGUAUGUAUAAAUGUACGCUUAUUAUAUCCUCGUAAUGAUCAUGAUUACACAGUUUCUGAAAGUAUUGCACAGAUUCUAUACAGAUGUUAAUAUGUGCUUGACAUCGAAUUGGGUUUUAUUAACCAAAAAAUUAAUCCCCAAUUGUGGGAAAAAAUAAUGUGACAAGUGAAACAAAUAUAAAACAAAAUGUUAAACCUUAAUGUCCAGAUAUGUAAAUUAAUACGAUAGAAUAAUACAUAAGGAUUAAUUCCAAAUAAAUAUUUGAAUUUUUCAGAUUUCUCCGACUGAUCCGUUGCCAAAAACCAUAUGCAGAACAUGUUUACAUCGUGUAGAGCAACAUUAUUCUCUUUUGAUGAGGCUUACACAAAUGAGAGAGGAGCGAAAAAUUAAAGGAUUUGAGUACAAGCCAAGCAGAGAAACGGUGAGUUAAAGGUACAUGCCAGAGAUAAGUACAUAUGUACAGACAUACAUAUGCAAAUACUCUUAUCCUUUGGACCAAAGGGAGCACAAGUCGAAAACAAGGUCACAAUCAACACAAGCAAGUGCAUUUUCAGAUGUCACAACGUAUGAUGCUGUGGCACUGUUCUCCUAAAAGCUAGGAAAUAAAUGUUUGUACUUGUUUUAUCAAAAUCAAUUUAUCGUUCUGGCUAUUAGAUAAAUCUUUACUCUUAUCAUGGAGUACUGGGUACAAAAAGAAUCGCAUACCACUUUUAUUUUUAAACAUAGAAAGGUGCCCUUUUUUGUACUCAAAGUAUUAAUAUCAAACCAUUUUUCAUCACUUUACAGGCAAAUGCAUCAAUAUCCAGCGUGGAAUGCUCUGAUGAGGAAGAUAACACAACAGAGCCCGUAGGCAAAACAAAUAGACGACAUGGAAGACCCACCUCCGAGUCCAUUAAAUCGAAAAAUACUGCCAAAACUCAUCGAAACAGUAGUGAAACUAACGAUGAAAGUGGGUCUGGAUCAAGGAUUAGAGAAGAAAAAGGGUCUGGAAGUCGUGGGACAGGACAGAGCACUCCAGCACUAACGUAAAAUAAUGACUGUCAGACUAGUCAAUGGUUUAAAUAUCAUUAUAUGUAUAUAAACAUAUUUAUACAUACAUAUAUAUAUAUAAAAAAAUAUGUGAACAUUUGGAAAGUAUGAGUAAAAUAGGCCAUUUAUGAAAAUCGAUGAACCUACAACAACCUUCCAACCAUUUAAAAUCAAGCAAAAAAGGCUGGAAAGCUUGUACUGUUCACAAGCUACUGCUCGCAAAGAUCGAUCAUUCAUUUAACAGAUAAAUCAUAUAAAACAGCUGUAGACAUUUUAAGUUACAUCUCGAGAAUUUUGAACGAACUAGACUUAAAAAAUUAUUGAAAAAUUAUAUCGAUACAGAUUAAGCUGAAACUUGUAAAGAUUGUUUGGAUUAUCUUAAGUAAUAAAAUAGAUUUUCUCUCAUUCCCCUUUUAGUACAAAUCUUGCCCAAAACUACUGACAUUAGCCAUUUACAUGGUUUUUAUUAUUUGUAUAAUAUGUAUUUGUAUAUGUUUAUAAAGCGUAGGCCAGUAUUUGUGCCUGAAACUAUGCCCUGAAACGGAUAGAAGUGGGCAGUGUACUCAGGGUACCUGUUGGCUUCUAAUGGUCGUCGAGAAUUCUGUGGGCCAGUUCUGUAUGCGAAUUUCCGCUGUUGCAAUAUUCUGCCGAUCCGUAAUUUAUUGUGAUCGUCUAUCGUUUUUGAUGCAAUAAUUCAUGGAUCGGAUUUUGAGAAAUGGAUCGUGAAGAAAGUACGAUCCAUUGCACUCGUGCCCAAUUCAUUGCUUUUGGCUUAUAUCGAUAGCUUAUAUAUCGACAAGAACACGCGGAAAAAGAACGUAAACGAAAACUAAUAAUUUAAAAAAUCUAAAAUUCCGCUAAAUACUUCGGUUUUAUGGAAAUGCUCCAAAUUUAAAUGACCGAGCUUUACGUUUCAAUAUCGGUCGUUUCUCAGCCGAUUGUAUUCAACAGUUUCGACAGUAAGGUAUGGAUCGGACGCUUUUACCUACAAUCAAAUCCCGAUCGUUGCAAUGGAUAGUGGAUCGGUGAUCAAGCCAUCCUGGUGGGUAACACACAGAAAGGAAACGUUUCCGACUUUAUAAAGUAUAUCCCAUUGAGCCCCCGAAAAGGACAAAAAUCUCCCACAUCCACAUCCACAUCCACAAAGAUAAAACUAAAUUAUGCAGCUCUAUGCAACUAUUUCCUCGAGCAAAUAGCUGUAUACAUAUGUAUAAAAAUAAAUCUAUAUACAGAGUACCGGGUAUAAAAGUUGUGAUGCGUCGUUCAACGUUCCCCCUCGUUAGACCUGGGUGAAAGCUAUUUUGUCUUCUACUCUUUUGCGUGCGAGCUUGUGACCACCCAAAAUAAUUAUUUAAUAAAAAAAUUAAAUCCGGAGAAACAGAAACAGGAAUAACGUUGUGAGUCUAUUACUAAAAAUACUUUUGUCCACCUUGUUCAGUCAGUAUAUGUACUGCCUCGUCUUUCCCCGUUUCUCACGAGCCCAGUCGCGCUGAAGCCGAAAUUUAACUCCCCGUAGGCUAACUCUAUCGGGGAUCGUGACUCCUUGCUAAGGACGACCACCACUAGUUCGUGGGGCUUUGCGUUGCAUCAAAUUUAACGAUCUUCUAAUCUGCCGUUGGAAAGUGCGGGUUGCACCGCUGUAACAUAGUGAGGAGUCAGGCACCCAUAUUUCGCACUCGGCCUACUGGGAACUUCGCGCCAGUCUACUGCUUUCUACAACUGAACGGAGCUCUCGUCCAUUUAGAUGACGUCCAGUGUCGCCGUCAUUCCACUUCCAUUGGCUCCUCGGAAACCUGGGUUUCGCACCGCUUCUGUCGAUGAAGUAUAUCAGCGUCCUCUCCUUGGCAAUCUGCGCCAAGGUCACAUUUGGCAGUAAUCUGGAUCGUUUUUGCCUACAGUCCAGUCUUCUCCUGAGAGCGCUUCUUUUAGGGUUGCUAGGCUUGUUCCUGCAGGACCAAACUAAAAUUUGGAAGCAGUCGGGCGGCCCAUAUCACCUUGAAGGGCUGCCGAAUUUUUUCGCUAGCUGUUCAGUUAGUUUAAAAACCUAAGUAGACAACGUAUAUAUAGUUUAUUUGUGACAACAAAUGGGUCGGAAAAGAUCGAGAGUGCGAUGCGUAUACGCAGAUCUGGUAAACCAGACCAAAGAUUUGAUUAAAAUAAAAUUCGUUUGUUGUUUAUUUUCUAAUCCAUAAAAUAAUUUUUUUAUUUGGAAGAGAGGUAAAUUUGAGCAAUAUGUACAUGUGUAUGUACGCAGACCUAUUUGGAACACUGUACUGGGUUAAAGUUGAAUUUUCUUAAAUUCAGAUAGUAUUGCACGAUCAGAAGCAACUGGAACUGGAAAAGGAAAAUCAAAAUGUCUCUUUAUUUUCGAACGACAUUUUAUAUUGAUAAUGUGGGAUAUUAUUAAUUUAGAAACAAAAAUACGCUUCGUACUGAUGUAAAUACAUUUGUAUGAUGUAUGUACAUGUAUUUCUUAAAUUACAAAUGCAUGUAUGUACAUACAAAUGUUAAAGUUAUGCAUAGAGUGGAAAUGUGUAAAAUUGUAUCACUCUAAAUGUACAUACAGAUAUGUAUAUACAUAUGUAUGAUUGCUAGGCUAGGCGAUAGUGAAAAAAUAUGAGUAACACCACCACCCAAAAUUACAACCCAUGUGCAGAAAAUCGAUAUUCUAGUCAAACUACAUGUACAUAUCAGCUUGUAGUGUCUACCUCGUGCUUACGUAGAAAAAUGAAUUUUUUUAAGUGCAAUAUAAAUAAAUAUAUCUACACAUAUGCAUAAAUAUGGUUGGAUUGUUACAUUCUUGUAUACAACAGAGUGAUAUUUAACCUAUUGCUUUUUUAGCCUAAAUUGGUUGCUCACUGUGUGGUAGGCUAGACAAUUAUUUAAUAUCUUUCUUUCUUUUUGUUUUUGCUGAAUUUGUGUACAUAUAUGCGUACAUGCAUAUGUACAUACAUGUGUACAUAUGUAUGUGUGAACUUGUGGAUACUAUUUUCGGAGGCUAGAUUCAACGUUUUGUAAUGAUCGAUGGUAAAACUGGAUAAUUAACAAUGCAUCUUGUUCGUAGUAACUUUUUCCAACGUGAUGAGUAUUUGAGAUCGCCUUCAACAAAGAUUGGAGUCCAACAACAGAAUUUCCAUACGUCGUACAGGAGCUAUCACACCAACAUGAAAGACGCGCAAGCUGAAAAAAAUGUAAAUAAUACAUUGGUUAAGCAUAACCAAAAUGUAACAUUUGUCCGGAGUAGUGGAAUCACUAAUGGAGCUGUUUUUCAUGAGAAUGUUAUUGAAAAUGAGUGGAACUUCCCUCCAAAGGUGCCAGCUCCGCACAUCUACCAUUGCAUUAACCCAGUAAGUCAGAAAAUUAAUGAAAUCUAGCUUCGGUGCACCGAAGUGCAUAUAACUUUGAAAAAUUGUGGAUUUGUUAUCUAUUCCGAUCGUUUUUAUAACUAUAACUAUGAUUUGAAUGUGUUUUGGAACCUCGAAAGAACCUCAUUACGAGGAUUUUAACGUUGCCCUGUUGAUGUCUAGAUGUAAAUAUCGGGGACUACUCAAGCGGCAGCACCCUUUGGUCGGUUGGGAUGUGUCUCUAACUAGGAACUGACUGGGCUUGGUGGCGCAUGGGCCCCUUGAUGGUUCAGUCAUUGUAACUGACGUUAUCAGAUGCUUUUAGAGCGUCUCUCACUGUCUUUCGUUCUCUCUAGUAGGGUAGCUUAAUAAUAAAGUGUGGGGUUUCAUUGCAUGUACAUACAUACAAUGAAAUUAAAAUUUACAUACAUAUGUACAUAUGGCAAAAAUUAAUUUUAAUGUUUCUUUAUUUUUUCAGGACUUACUGGUGGGAAGUGAUAAGAACGGCUUCAAAGGACUCCGUAAGCAAUUUAGUGGGCGAUUUAAGCGCUUAGUUACUCGAAAAGUAGAGCACGGCCCAGUGAUACCCCCGGAAUUAAAGCCACAAUUAAAAACAAUUUACGUUUACUAAUUUUAGAAGAAUCACUAUUUGCGUAUAUACAAUAUGUAUGUAUAAAUGUACUUGUAUGUAUUUUUAUAUAUUGUAGAAAACUUUAGUGAUAAUAAAAGCAAGAUAAACUAAGCUACCUUGUUAAUUGACAUUUCUAAUUAUUAAGUUCAUCAUGCUUAAUUAGUUUCAUUUUCGUAUAUUUUAUUAUACAUCUCAUAUUUUCCAAAGCUUUUUAGAUUUUAUAAAAGAAAAUAGUUAAAUCCAACAAACGCCUUUUUAUUUUGUAUAUCCUAAAUAUUUAUUGAUAUUGUUGUUAUGUAUGGUCACACAAAGAACAAUUUGCUUGACGAAUGUGAUCAAACACUUUCCCACUAACUAGGCGAAAAUUGAUAACGAACAAAUUGUCAACGAGUAAACAUUGAAAAUGGAUACAGGGAGUGUGAUUUACGAAAUGAAUUUGUGGUCGAAAAAUGUAGCACACCGAAGGAUACAUUCCGGACCUUCUAAAGUAUAUAUAUUUUCAAUCAGUAUCAAUAGUCGAGUCGAUAUAGUCACGAUCAGAUGAUCGCCCUGAUGAGCGCCUAGUUCUCAGAGACCAUAAGAGCUAGAGUAACAAAUUUAACCAAAUUUAAAAGUUAUAUUACAUGUGUAUUUAAAAAAUGUGCCCCCGCCUUCUUCCGCUCACAAAAACGCAGUUACGUGUAUGUAUGUACUGACGGAGUGCCGGGUAUAGCAUUUGCGACGCGUACGAACGGGUCUCACAACGUUCCUCCUUUUUGUUCUUCAACCUUAAUGUUCCCUAGAUUUUAUUUUAACAUGCUCUGGGAAUAUUUAUUUGGCUAUGAGUGAAAGCGCAUUUUGCCCUCCGUGAAGAAUGAAUUUCAGAGAAUUAAGCUCGUUCCGAGAAUAAAAGGGAGAAUGGAGGAUUCAAUACGUUCUCAUGAGUAAGAUUUAUUGCACUGCCGUAGUGUCAUAUCAGCAAAUGCGGUGUCCGGCUGUCCUAAAUUGUCUCGGAUAAAUUCGAGCAGAUAAGAGCAAAGACGCUGUUUUCCAUUUCUUUAAUCCACCAAAUACGUUCACCUAAAUAUAGAAAAUUGUAUUUUUUUUUUUUUUUGCAAAUUAAAGUUUAUUCAUUGUGUCUAAAUUAUAACUGUAAUUGGUUUCAAGUCAAAAAUGUUUGAAGAGUCUCAAAUGAUAAUCCUGGAUUAUUUAAAGAUUUUUGAUUCUGGACAUUAUAUCCUUUAAAAUUAAAGCAUCGUUGAAAUCCAGGGUCUAGCCUUAACAGGGAUUGAAUUUUUGGAUUCGACAAGCCAAAAAAUGAUUCUCCCUGCGCGUUAAAUGGUAUUUUGACACUUUUAUUAGAAUACCUCUGAAUGGUAUUUAAUAGUUCUGCAUGACACAUAUUUGGGGUUUCUCCAAAAAAUACACCAUCCAAAUCGUUAUCAGGUAUUAUUUGAAAUUGAGGUACUCCCGCGUUAUUUAAAAUUUUACAAGUAAAUACACACUUUUUUGAUGGAUCUUUUGGAUGGGCGUAAAUUCGGGUUGCCACAUAACCAACAGGAUAUAUCCAACUCUCAUUAUGGAAAUUUGAACUCCCCGAUAUAUCGCCUAGUGAAUGUAGUAAUAAAUUAUUUAAGUGAAGUGGAAAAGAUUUUUUGAUUUUUGAUGUAGAACCAUUUUGAGAAUCCUCUUCAAUUUCACUGGGAUAUAAAAUGCUUUGUUUAUUCUUGCUCAAAGCUCGUAUGAAAUUCUCAUUAGAUUCGGGUUUUCCAUUUAUAACGCAGUUGCGUACUAUAUUGGCCUUUUCUAAACCUUCGUAAAACAUUAGUCGCUUAAUUAGAUAAAUCCUUUGUGAUCGUGUAGCAGCUAGUUCAGACUGAAGAUGGCAGAUUUCAUCAGUAAGGCAGGAGUUUUCC
rnacentral:lncRNA from 1 species